rnacentral:rRNA from 3 species
CCUGAUGCAGCCAUGCCGCGUGUGUGAAGAAGGCCUUCGGGUUGUAAAGCACUUUCAGUUGUGAGGAAAAGUUAGUAGUUAAUACCUGCUAGCCGUGACGUUAACAACAGAAGAAGCACCGGCUAACUCCGUGCCAGCAGCCGCGGUAAUACGGAGGGUGCGAGCGUUAAUCGGAAUUACUGGGCGUAAAGCGCACGCAGGCGGUUUGUUAAGCUAGAUGUGAAAGCCCCGGGCUCAACCUGGGAUGGUCAUUUAGAACUGGCAGACUAGAGUCUUGGAGAGGGGAGUGGAAUUCCAGGUGUAGCGGUGAAAUGCGUAGAUAUCUGGAGGAACAUCAGUGGCGAAGGCGACUCCCUGGCCAAAGACUGACGCUCAUGUGCGAAAGUGUGGGUAGCGAACAGGAUUAGAUACCCUGGUAGUCCACACCGUAAACGCUGUCUACUAGCUGUGUGUGUCUUUAAGACGUGCGUAGCGAAGCUAACGCGCUAAGUAGACCGCCUGG